rnacentral:lncRNA from 1 species
AUUGACAGAGAUAAUGAUGCCGUUGCAUUUGAAAAUAAGGUACAGCAACUGACCCCAGAGGAGGGAGGAAAGGAAAUUUUUUUGCUGUUGGGGAAGCAAAGGGCCUGAGCUGUAAAGCCAGAGAUGAUUUGUCAGACUCACAUGAUGAAGCAGGAAAGUUCCAAGAAAACCCAAGCAUCUAAAAUCUUAAAUGACUGCUCCACAUCAGAAAAAAAGGAGGUACCUCAAAAAAGCCUACAUCCAGGUCAUACUGAGGAGUUUCUUCUCAAAGCCAGAGAAAAUAGUCCAGAUCUCCAUGAAGCCAUUUCAGCUCUCACAUUGCUUCUUUCUCAACUCUACUUAAAAAAUCCAUCUAGCUAUACAAAGCACUAAAAUAUAUUGAAUGCUUAAAUAUAUAUAUAUUUUUUUGCAUAUGGAAAAUCAGCUUUUACAUCUUAGUCUGAAAUUGUUCAGUGUUUAGUUGCUGAGCACUUUGUCCUUAUAAUUUAAAGAAAUACAUGUAUUGCAUUAAUUAGUAAAGUGUAAAUUAACUUUAAGUUUGACCUAAUCAGCUGAGCAGACGAUGGUUUUACUGUGCUUAAAACAUUAAAAACUCGUAAAAUUCUAAAUUUGAUUUUAACAAUAUCUAAUAUUAUUUUCAGGUUCUAUAACAGUUAUGGAACAUUGGAGGUGAUACAAUAAACUGAAACGUCUCUUAGCUAAUUGAGGUCUU